rnacentral:ncRNA from 1 species
AAAGUUGUUGCAGUUAAAAAGCUCGUAGUUGGAUUUCUGUUUUGGAUGUCCGGUCCGCUCCCUCUGGGAGUGUGUACUUAUGGAUAUUCGAGGCAUUUUUUGUGAGGCUGCCUUUCUGCCAUUAAGUUGGUGGGUUGGUGGGCUUGCAUCGUUUACUGUGAAAAAAUUAGAGUGUUUAAAGCAGGCGUUUGCUCAUUUGAAUACAUUAGCAUGGAAUAAUAAGAUACGGCCUUGGUGGUCUAUUUUGUUGGUUUGCACACCAGGGUAAUGAUUAAUAGGGACAGUUGGGGGUAUUCAUAUUUCAGCGUCAGAGGUGAAAUUCUUGGAUCGCUGAAAGAUGAGCUUAGGCGAAAGCAUUUACCAAGGAUGUUUUCAUUAAUCAAGAACGAAAGUUAGGGGAUCGAAGAUGAUUAGAUACCAUCGUAGUCUUAACCAUAAACUAUGCCGACUCGGGAUUGGCAGUCGUUUACUUUAAAUGACCUUGUCAGCACCGUAUGAGAAAUCAAAGUCUUUGGGUUCCG